GGGGAAUAUUGCACAAUGGGGGAAACCCUGGAUGCAGCGACGCCGCGUGAGUGAAGAAGUAAUUCGUUACGUAAAGCUCUAUCAGGCAGGGAAGAAAUGACGGUACCUGAGUAAGAAGCCCCGGCUAACUAC
rnacentral:rRNA from 1 species